UACGUAGGGGGCUAGCGUUGUCCGGAAUCAUUGGGCGUAAAGAGCGUGUAGGCGGUCCGGUAAGUCCGCUGUGAAAGUCGGGGGCUCAACCCUCGAAUGCCGGUGGAUACUGUCGGGCUAGAGUGCGGAAGAGGCGAGUGGAAUUCCUGGUGUAGCGGUGAAAUGCGCAGAUAUCAGGAGGAACACCUAUUGCGAAGGCAGCUCGCUGGGACGUAACUGACGCUGAGACGCGAAAGCGCGGGGAGCAAACAGG
rnacentral:rRNA from 1 species